ensembl:snoRNA small nucleolar RNA SNORD38
GCCUUGUGAUGAAAACUUUGUCCAGUUCUGCUGCUGAAUGCAAGUGGUGACAAUUCAAAUUCUGAAGGC